rnacentral:rRNA from 1 species
GACGUAGGUGGCGAACGUUAUCCGGAAUUAUUGGGCGUAAAGGGUGCGUAGAUGGCCUGAUAAGUUAGCAGUGGGAAAUCGAGGCUCAACCUCGUGGAAGCUGGUAAUACUGUCAGGCUCGAGUGCAGGAGAGGUUAACGGAACUCCAUGUGGAGCGGUAAAAUGUGUAGAUAUAUGGAAGAACACCAAUAACGGCGAAGGCAGUUAACUAUGCUGUUACUGACAUUGAGGCACGAAAGCGUGGGGAGCAAAACGG